rnacentral:pre_miRNA from 1 species
GUGUGAGUGUGUGUGUGUGUGUGUGUGAGUGCUUUGUGCGUGCGCAUGCAUGCACGCACGCACGCACGCACG